GAGAAUACCAGAUCCACUUGCUCGAGCGUGCGAAAUAAACGCAGAGAUUGAAGAGUUCUUCAGAGAUGUUUGAAGCUUUGAUUAUGGUGGAUUUUGACUGAAGUGUAGAUGAAGAUGAAGUGGUGAAGGUGAUGAUGAGUUAACUGACGAAGAUGAAAAUCAAAUGGUGGCGAUUGAAGGAUCCAUCUGAAGAGUGUGAACAAGUGAUGAAGAUGAAUGAAGAGAAUGGGGUGGAAAUGGUGAUGAAUCGUGAAGAGAAUUGAGCAGAUGGGAAUUAGAGGUUAUAUAGAGAUUGAGGGAAGAGGUUCUGUGAAGGGGAACUCUGGUUUAGUAAUUUGUGUAGAUAGGUCUGAAAUGUAACUCAUGGAGCUUCAAAGUUUAGAAGACCAUGGAAUGGCUCUUGGUAUUGGUGUGAAAAAUAUGGUUCUGGCUUAGCUUGAAAUGUGGGGCAUGAGGAUAUGAAAGCUUGGAAUGGAUGUGUUUGGGAUGGAUCAUGUGCAUAGUGAAAAGCUUGAAACCUGAGUUGUUGAAUUUGUAACAUAUACUUAGGUGGCUGCAGCAAGAAUGUGAACUUGAAUUGAAAUAUUUUGGUAUAUAUGGAGUUAAACAUGUAUUAACUCAUGGAAUAGCCUUAGGAAAUUUAUAUAAGUCUUGAUAAUGAUAUUGUAAUGAACUUUGGAUUCUUGACCAA